rnacentral:lncRNA from 1 species
AAUGAACAGAUUCUCAGCAAAAGGACUCUAAGGAUGCAGAGAAAGAGAAAUGGCCCAAUCUGGGAAGGAGAUUACUCAGUCUUAGGUAUGUCUAUCAGCGUGUGAAAAUGGACUAUUACAACAUCUCUAGAGGCACAUGCCACGUGAUCCAGCCAUAAUUAGUUGUCACAACUAAGUUUCCUUUCUAUAUGAAAAGAUUAUAUUGAUUAGAAUUCUGA